ensembl:lncRNA
UGUACCACCACCAGGUGACAUUAUUGUCCGUAUUAUUGCUAAUUAAAGAGUCUUCCCUUACAAUUUUCCAUUUUCCUUUUGACUCCAACAAGAGAUAUGUGUCUGUUUAACGCCUGAACUAAAUUACCCCAGUGGGACAACAAACAUAUUUUGAUUCUUACUAAGAGAAGAGCUACAGUUUUUGUUAGAUGUCCUCUCAGGGAGAAAUGUCUCAUUCCUUUCAGCCAGUCCUCACUUAUGGAGCACUUAUUGUGUGCCAGCUGUUAACUGUCUGGGAGUGGGGGGUGAGUAAAGGGUGUAUCAGGCUGGGCUAGAGUUUUGCUCAAAGGAAGCCUCAUGAAGGCAGUGGAAUCUGAGUUGAGUUUUAAGGGGUUAGUAGCCUUAACUUAAGGUAACCUCCUGGGUAUAAGAGGGUAUAAGACCUCUUCACUUGGGGCUCAUUUAUUCACGCAACAUCCAUCUAUUGAAAGCUGGCCUAGGCGCUGCCACUCUCUCACUGGGUACCCAUCCAGGGUAGGGGAACCAAUUCAGAAUCUGGCCGCCACUAAAAUUUCUUCACGCUGCGUUGUUUCUUGUAAUUUGAAUUAUUCUUAUCCCAUUAGAGAAGAUUUUCAGAGUGGAGAAUUCCAACGGAGUAAAACCCUUCCGCCCAGAUCUGUUCCUGGAAACAGCAGAGGAAAAAGAGUUGGAAGUGAGUAUAUCACAUCCUCCCUGUAUGAGUUUCUUUGGGCUGCUGUAACAAAUUGCCACAAACCUGGUGGAUUCAAACAACAGAAAUGUAUUUGCUUACAGUUCUGGAGGUCAGAAGUCUGAAAUAAGUUGUCAGCAAGAUCAUGCUCCCUCCAGAGGCUCUAGGGGAGAUUCCAUUCCUUGCUUUUUCCAGAAGCUUCUGGUGGCUAUGAUAUACCUUGGCUCAUGGUCACACACUCCAAUAUCUGUCUCCGUGGUCACAUUCUCUUGUCUUCUGUCUGUCUAACCUCCCUCUACCUCGCUCCCGUAUAAGGGUACGUGUGAUUGCAUUUGGGCCCACCAAGAUAAUCCAGAAUAAUCUCCCCAUCUCAAGGUCCUUAACUUAAUCACAUCUGCAAAGACCCUUUUUUCAAAUAAGGUCACAUUCACAGGUCCCAGGGUUUAGGACAUGGACAUCAGCUUUAGGAGCCGUCAUCAGCCUGCCACACUCCCCAGGUCCUGUCUGUCUCCCCCAAACCAGGGAAGAGCUGGCUUGUUAAGCACACAUCACAUUCUCAAUUUUUAGGAGCUAAAAGGGCAAGAUGUCCUUGUGAUACACUUAUUGGCCUAUAAUAGUACCUACUAAUUAAAAAAUAAAUAUGCCAACAUCCAGAAACAACAAAGAAAUGUCCUUUCACUCCUUCAUCCUUCCUCUGAAAGAAAUGGGCUUUUCUCUCUGCAUUUGCUUAAGUUUUUUAUAAUCCCUCACAGAGACCUUUAAGGCCUAUGAAAAAAAUUCUAAUUUUUUUUUAGAAUUUUAUCUGAGCUUUUAUAAUUCCAGAGGAUAGUAACUAAAGCAGUUUAAAAAGCAUUUAUGGUCCUAAAAAGUUAAAAAAAAGAAAAUAUUCGUUCCUUGUGGGAUAAAGAUAAAAACACUUCUCUUCAGUUUAUAAGCACGCUGCCAGAUGAGUUUAUGGGCGAUUCUGUGGUGGCCGGUGGCCCAUCUUUACCUCUGCUCCUCUUCCCCUGUCAGCAUUAAAGGCACGUGGGAGACCCAAGGUUCUGAGCUACAGCUGCUCCCAUCCUUGCUCUCUCCUCAUUCCUUCUUUCCUCCUGCUUUUCUGGAUCCUAGGAUUUUCUGGACUCCUCCCCACGUAUCAGCAUGUCCCUUCUCAAACCCUCCUUUCUAGUCUGAGUAUAUCUAUGCAUGUUUAAAAUUUUUUCACCAAAGCAUUCUCCUCCUCAAUUCACUCAUGUAGUUGGAUGGUUCUGGAACUGGAAAUGAAGAAUAAGAUUUCACAUCUAGUAGCUGGUUCCAAUAGAAUACGGGGCUGAAGCUAGAUGGCUUGGCAAUGCCAGAAGAGCACACGGGACUCACUCUGUGGUGCUCCGUCAGCCCAUUUGUCGAUUGCUUCUGUCCAUUCCUGUCUAAGGCGGUCAGCAGAUUGUCCAGAAGGCAGGAGCAUCAUCUAGUGGUGAACACAGGCAGAGGCUACACUGUGGUCUGGUCCCUCUCUCCAGAGACUCAUUAAGGCAAAGAACGCAGAUAGGGACUGCAUCUAUACCAUUUGUGAUCCUGUUUCUGGCCAGAGUGAAGAACAAACUUUAUUUAAAGCAAAUAGUUUUCACCAAGCUUUUUGAUCCAACAAAAGCUGCAAACAAGUGGUAGCAAAUGAGAUGAUGGGUCCAUGGGCUUCCUCGUGUCUCCCCCUUCCUCUGUAUCCCCUUUCCUCACUUCUCAUCUCCACUGCAGUUGGGCAUUAUAAUCACCUGAGGAACUUAAAAGUAGAUAUAUUAUAUUGUAAGGCCACACGGAUGGCUGGGCUAGGGCAGCAGGGUAUUGUGCUGAGAGACCAAAGAAACAACCCAGAGAUGAUGGGUGAGACAUAGAU